rnacentral:rRNA from 1 species
UACGGGGGGGGGCAAGCGUUGUUCGGAAUUACUGGGCGUAAAGGGCUCGUAGGCGGCCAACUAAGUCAGACGUGAAAUCCCUCGGCUUAACCGGGGGAACUGCGUCUGAUACUGGAUGGCUUGAGAUUGGGAGAGGGAUGCGGAAUUCCAGGUGUAGCGGUGAAAUGCGUAGAUAUCUGGAGGAACACCGGUGGCGAAGGCGACAUCCUGGACCAAUACUGACGCUGAGGAGCGAAAGCCAGGGGAGCAAACGGG